UAAAGUUGUUGCUGUUAAAAAGCUCGUAGUUGAAUUUCGGGAUCAAUAUAUUGGUCGUGCCUCCGGUAUGCACUGGUACUAUUGAUUUCUACCUUCUGACGAACUGUGAUGUCAUUAAUUUGGUGUCAUGGGGAAUCAGGACCGUUACUUUGAAAAAAUUAGAGUGUUUAAAGCAGGCACACGCUUGAAUACAUUAGCAUGGAAUAAUGAAAUAGGACGUUUGACCCUAUUUUGUUGGUUUCUAGGAUCGACGUAAUGAUUAAUAGGG
rnacentral:rRNA from 1 species